GAUGAACGCUGGCGGCGUGCCUAAUACAUGCAAGUAGAACGCUGAAGCUUGGUGCUUGCACCGAGCGGAUGAGUUGCGAACGGGUGAGUAACGCGUAGGUAACCUGCCUCUUAGCGGGGGAUAACUAUUGGAAACGAUAGCUAAUACCGCAUAAAAGUCGAUAUCGCAUGAUAUUGAUUUGAAAGGUGCAAUUGCAUCACUAAGAGAUGGACCUGCGUUGUAUUAGCUAGUUGGUGAGGUAACGGCUCACCAAGGCGACGAUACAUAGCCGACCUGAGAGGGUGAUCGGCCACACUGGGACUGAGACACGGCCCAGACUCCUACGGGAGGCAGCAGUAGGGAAUCUUCGGCAAUGGGGGCAACCCUGACCGAGCAACGCCGCGUGAGUGAAGAAGGUUUUCGGAUCGUAAAGCCCUGUUGUAAGAGAAGAACGAGUGU
rnacentral:rRNA from 1 species